rnacentral:tRNA from 1 species
GGAUUGUGACUCAAUGGUAGAGCGCUUGCCUCUCACAUAUGAGGCACUGUGUUCGAUUCUCGGCACCA